AUUUUAGCUUGUAGUUUGAUGGGGUUUUGUUAGAGACUUGGUAGAUAAGCUAGUUUUGAAGUUUUGUGUGAUUUGGAGUUAGUUUGGUAAGAUUUGGUGUUCUCUUUGUUCUUGAUUUUGGGGCUUUUGGGUGUAAAUUUUAGUUUAUGAUUUUGACUUGAGGUUAGUGGGUUUGUGUUUGAAAUAUUAUGUUUAGGCUAGAUUUAAAGUUUGGUGUAUUUUGGAGUUGUUUUGGCUUGAUUUUGGUCUUGUUUUGGUGAGAAAUGAGUAGUUUGAGAGCUAUUUAGUGUAGAAUUUGUUGUUGAAUUUGAUUUAAAGGUUAGUGGGCUUUGAUUUGUUAUAUUUGGAAUGGCUAGAUUUUCCGGUCAAAUUAAUUUUCCGGCAAGAUUUAAGCUAUUCCGGGCACCUCCAUAGAUUCCGGCGAAGCCCGUAUAAUUAGUUUUGUCUACGGAACCAGCGUCUGUUUGUUUCACUUGGCGUGUUAUUCUGUUGUUUCCUGCUUGCCCGCCGUCGCACACUUUUUCUUUUCUUUUUUUUUCAUUUUUUUUUUAUUAUUACUUUACCAGCCCUCUGCCUUGUUUUCUUAUUCUUCCCACCACGAUUUCAUGACGUUCUUUUUGUUUUCGUUUUAUUAAUAAAUUAAUAUGUUUGAUCUGCUCAGCUAGUAUAGCUUUAUUUUUCAAUUUUUCCACCACCUGCCUGCCAUUUUCUUUGUAUUAUAACUUCGUGUUUUCUUUUCUUUUAUUUUAAUUGUUAAUUUAGAUUUAUUAAAAUCUUUCAAAAACUAAUUUGUCUAAUUCGCCUAAAUUAUAAAUUAAGGAAUUUGCGAAAAUAAUUUUAAUCUCUGUGGAUCGAAUCAUAAAUAUUAAAACGGUGAUCGUGCGCUUGCGAUUUAAAGGUAUUAUUUCUAGCACAUCAAGUUUUUGG
rnacentral:lncRNA from 1 species